UAGUCAUCACUACAGCAGAGGUAACUAGUUCACCAUUAGACUAGUCAUCACUACAGCAGAGGUAUGUAGUUCACCGUUAGACUAGUCAUCACUACAGCAGAGGUAACUAGUUCACCAUUAGACUAGUCAUCACUACAGCAGAGGUAACUAGUUCACCAUUAGACUAGUCAUCACUACAGCAGAGGUAACUAGUUCACCAUUAGACUAGUCAUCACUACAGCAGAGGUAACUAGUUCACCAUUAGACUAGUCAUCACUACAGCAGAGGUAACUAGUUCACCAUUAGACUAGUCAUCACUACAGCAGAGGUAACUAGUUCACCAUUAGACUAGUCAUCACUACAGCAGAGGUAACUAGUUCACCAUUAGACUAGUCAUCACUACAGCAGAGGUAACUAGUUCACCAUUAGACUAGUCAUCACUACAGCAGAGGUAACUAGUUCACCAUUAGACUAGUCAUCACUACAGCAGAGGUAACUAGUUCACCAUUAGACUAGUCAUCACUACAGCAGAGGUAACUAGUUCACCAUUAGACUAGUCAUCACUACAGCAGAGGUAACUAGUUCACCAUUAGACUAGUCAUCACUACAGCAGAGGUAACUAGUUCACCAUUAGACUAGUCAUCACUACAGCAGAGGUAACUAGUUCACCAUUAGACUAGUCAUCACUACAGCAGAGGUAACUAGUUCACCAUUAGACUAGUCAUCACUACAGCAGAGGUAACUAGUUCACCAUUAGACUAGUCAUCACUACAGCAGAGGUAA